UCAAACUUGGUCAUUUAGAGGAAGUAAAAGUCGUAACAAGGUUUCCGUAGGUGAACCUGCGGAAGGAUCAUCAAAGAGAAAAUAUGUAUACACUCUGUGUGCACCUAUCGAAGGACAAAAUGAGAAAUCCUGACCUCUUUUUCUUUUGGAAAAGAGGUAGAGGAUAAUCAUUUUUUUUAAUUUACCAAGUUUUUGUUAUCGUGUAUAUAUGAUAAAUAAUAAAAAAACUUUCAACAACGGAUCUCUUGGUUCUCGCAUCGAUGAAGAACGCAGC
rnacentral:misc_RNA from 1 species